AUACGGGGGGAGCAAGCGUUGUGCGGAAUUACUGGGCGUAAAGGGCGCGUAGGCGGCCUGGUCAGUCGAGUGUGAAAUGUCGGGGCUCAACCCCGUGCACUGCAUUCGAUACUGCCUGGCUGGAGAAAGGUAGAGGCGAGCGGAAUUCCCGGUGUAGCGGUGGAAUGCGUAGAUAUCGGGAAGAACACCUGUGGCGAAGGCGGCUUUCUGGCCUGAUACUGACGCUGACGCGCGAAAGCUAGGGGAGCAAACAGGAUUAGAAACCCCGGUAGUCC
rnacentral:rRNA from 1 species